CUUCUGCAAAUCCAAAAAUCUUCUUCAGAAAAUCGACAAUGGUGAUUCUCAUGUACCUUUUCACCACUGAUCCCAUUCAAUGUCACAACUAAAACCCUAAUGUUCUAUAUUUUCAAAUAAGUUCUCUUUUUAGAUUUCGAUCCAUGGAUUCAAGCAGCAAACAUCAAACAUCCAUUUUACAUCUUCAAGAUCUAGGGUUUCAUGUUCAAGUUGCUAUAUCUGAUACCUGUAUGGUCUGAGUUAAUAACGAUGGUUCAAGGAAGGAUGAAGGUGUUAAUGUUUUCAAUUCUUCAC